GUGUCAGCAGCCGCGGUAAUACGAAGGGGGCUAGCGUUGUUCGGAAUCACUGGGCGUAAAGGGCGCGUAGGCGGCCUUGUAAGUCGGGGGUGAAAGCCUGUGGCUCAACCACAGAAUUGCCUUCGAUACUGCGAGGCUUGAGACCGGAAGAGGUCAGUGGAACUGCGAGUGUAGAGGUGAAAUUCGUAGAUAUUCGCAAGAACACCAGUGGCGAAGGCGGCUGACUGGUCCGGUUCUGACGCUGAGGCGCGAAAGCGUGGGGAGCAAACAGGAUUAGAUACCCCUGUAGUCC
rnacentral:rRNA from 1 species